CAAACAGAUCAGUCUCAAAGACUUCAUGUAGAGAAAGAUGGCAAGCUAUGACUUAAAGUUGACUGAUUUUUAUCUGUCAUGGGUUCUAAUUUAUUUGAGGCAAGACAUCUACUUCUUAAGACCAAUCGCUGCUUGCCCUUAAACAACCAUACUGCCAGGGUUAGCAGUGAGGUGAGGCAAGCUGAAUUAAAUGAAAAGCUACAGGAUACAGUUUAUUGGGUGGAAAGAUAGCAAGUACUCCCUAAAAUGCACACAUAAUAUUUUUAGGUCAAUAGGGCAGGAAGGCUGUGUCUCUGGUCAGUAGGUUGUUGCAGAUAAGAAAACAAAGAAAAAAUAGCAAAAAUAGGCAUAGCUGGACACACUGUAAUGGCUGUUUGCUCUGAUCUGAUGAGGUGGUUGGGGAAUACAGUCCAAGGAUGUUAGUGUUUGCGUGAAAGUGCAUGUGUGGGGUCAGGCUGACCGAUGAGGUGGUGAUGGUGAAAGGUGAUAGACCCUUUGAGAGAGGCUAAUGGGGUCUCUUGAAAGUCUAUUUACCCAGAGUAAUAAAAUGCAUGUGCAAGGGGAAGAGUAUGAGACAGGAUCACAAGCUCAGACAGACAGGAGAGUCCCCUCAAUUUUCCUUUAAGAAAAGGAAAUGGUUUACAUUGGAGCCAUUGAGGAUGUUGCAGCACAUGUUGGGAUUGUAAGUUUUUACUCUUGAUAAACAGAAAUAACUGAACACAUUAAAUGUGUUGUUAAAGUGCCUUUCUCUAUUGCACAUAGAUGGCUCAAAUAAUUGAAGGAAAUAAUUUUCAGGGUAUAGUAUCAAGUCAGUUAAACUUUUGGAACAUUGAUCUAGUCAGUUAAGUAGUAUGGGAAUUGUUAAUCAGUGUCAGCUGUUUUAACAUUAAUGAAAUCAACAAUAGGUGCACUUAUCGCGGCCACAAUGCGAUGACCCCAAAAACCGGAACGGUUUUGCAGGAGUCCAGGGUCAGUGUCACUACUGGUAGCAUGAGGCAAUACCUGGACCCUACAUAGGUUUUACAGGCAGACCAACUCCACCGGGAUGGCAGAUUGAUACGUGCCAAUGCCUGGAGGUUUGCUGUGUCACCCAGCACAGUCUUAAGAUCAUGGAGGAGAUUCCAGGUGACAGGGAUUUACUCUAAGAGAGCUGAACAGGGCCAUCAGAGGUAUCUGCUCCUCUGUGCAAGGACGAACAGUACUGCCAGAGCUCUUUGAAGUUACAUACAGCAAGCCCCUGGUGUGAAUGUGUCUGACCAAACCAUUAGUAACAGACUUCAUGAGAGUGGUGUGAGGGCCCGACAUUCUUCCGCAAGGCCCUGCGCUCACGGCCUGGCACCACGGAGCUCUACUGGCACUUGCCAAAGAAACACCAGAAUUGGCAGAUUUGGCACUGGUGCCCUGGUCUUUUCACAUAUGAGAGCAGGUUCACUCUGAGCUCAUGUGACAGAUAUCAAAGGAUCUGGAGAAGCUGCGGUGAAAGUUAAGCUCCCUGCCACAUUGUUCAGCAUGAUCGGUUUGGUGGUGGGUCAGUGGUAGUCUGGGGAGGCACAUCCAUGGAAAGACACACAGACCUGUGUAUAAUAAAUGGGAUGAAACCCUUGACCCCAUUGUUAGACCCUUCUGUGGGGCAGUGGGUUCUGGGUUCCUUCUGGUGCAUGAUAUUGCCUGGCCCCAUGUGGCAAGAGGAUGCAGGUACUUCCUGGAGAAUGUAGGAAUUGAUAACAUAUCUGACACCACCAGGUUACACCUCAGACUGUCCAGGAGCUCAAUAAUGCCCUAGUCAAGAUCGGGGAGGAGAUAUGCAAUGACAUUAUCUGACAUCUCAUAAGGAGCAUUCUCCCACAUUGUCAGGCAUGCAUACAAGCACAUGGGAGCCAACCAAACUACUGAGUAAAAUUUGGAGUUGCUGCGAUGACAUUUCAACAAAUUGUACUACACUCAAAAAAGUUAACCAGGGCAGUUAUCCACUUUGUUAACAUUUCACUUCCAGUUAACACAUAAAAAUGUUAGGGAUCUGGGGUUGUUUUGUGUUUAUGAAGUGUUCUGUUUUCACUCUGAGCUGCAGUUUCUCCUGGAGGGCGAUACUGAGCAGUGUGCAUCUGCACACCCGCUCCUAAUCAACUUUGUUUGCUAAAGAAUAAAAGAGGCUCUGGCUGCUGAUCCUUCUUCGCCUCAGUGGCAACCCAAGUGUUCUUCCUUGGACCGGUCUUUCUAAAAGACCACCUGGAUUCCCACUUCUGACCUCUUCAUGUCAGUUACCUAUGGACAACCACUUUCAUGUUAAGCUGAGCUCCUCUUACCAUCGGAACCACCACACUGACCUGUCCGCCCUCCGAAGCUCUCUACCAAACUGCUGUUGGAACGCAGCCCUCUGCACAAACAUCACCCCUGGACCCGGCUCCCCUCUUCAACUCAGCUCUCUGCAAAACGCUAUAAGCUGCUGUAGCACACACAUCCCAGGACCCACCUGUCAACUCCUUCUGUUUUCAAUAAACCUUUCAAACCUGCAUAACCUCCUGAGAGUAUUUUUUGCAUGUGGGCCAAAAAGCUUCCACAAGCCAUGACAAAAAAAGGUGUUUGUUGGAUUAAAUUGCUUUAUUUUAGUAAAUAUAACAUAAGGUAAAAUUAUUCAUGUUUUUUUGCUUUCAACUAACAUAAUACAAUUAUGUGGAACCUGUUUCAGAUCUUUUUUUUUUUUUUGAGCAUACACUGUCACAUCAGUGAUUCAGUUUAAAUUUCUCGAUGACUUCAGAUUAAGGUAUUUGUAGGUUGGUAAUUUUCAUCAAAUCGUGGCAAUCUUUUGUUCCUGAAACAUUAACCAUUUCAUAUCAGUAUGGAAAUCUAGCAAGUUUGUUUUCCAAGUUAGAUUGUAUUUUAGAAGUUUUUCUUUUUUUUUUCUCUCUCUCUCUUUUUUUAGCAGUGUACAUGGUCAGCCAUAACAUUACGACCAACUGUCCAAUGGAGCGUUGUGCUCCUUUUUUUUUUUUUUGUUUGCUUUCAACAGCAGCAUGACCUGCUGUGACAAUGACUUUGCUUGAACCCUAAAAGGAUAUUGUGGGUUCUUGCCCCAAAAUACAAUAAGCAGAUCCUUUAGAUCCUAGUGGGAUGGAGUCUCUGUGGAUUGGACUUGUAUGUCCAGUGAAACCUGGUUUGCUCAACUGGAUUCAGGAAUGAGGAGUUUGGAGGCCAACUUAAGACCUCCAUGAAAUGGACUCAAUGGUCUGCAUGGUAGACAGGCAUUCAUGUGAUUAUAAAAGAAAAUGUGAUUAAUUGGACCACACAACUCUGUUUCAUCAUUCUGUGGUCCAGUUCUGAUUUUGAAGAGUCCAUUGUUGGUGUUUUCAGACCACCUAUUGAUUGCUCUGCAGUUGUGCAUUACCAUGCACCACUUGGGCCAGCCUUUGCUCCCAAUAAAUAUCCAUAACACUGUUGCUAGUGCACCAUUGUUGCUUCCAUGAACCACUUUAGAUCCAUACUGAUCACUGCAAACCAAAGAACACCACACAAUAGCUGCACUUUUGGAGAUGCUCCGAAAAAAAAAAAAAUAUUGAAUUGGAUUCAUGCUAAUGGUGUAAGGUUCAGGACGGAGGACCCAGAAUUUCA